AUUAGUAGGUUAGCAGGUUAAACUUCCUGUCUUGUAAUCAGCAUAUCCUGGGUUCAAAUCCCAGCGAUG